CCUUGUUUCUAAGGCAUGAAUCCCAUGUUCAAAAUGGCAAGUCAACGAACACGCACUCCACGAUCCCCAUUCCGAAUACUUAGGACUGCAUGCUUUCAACUUACAAACCUUCCUGCAUACACAAAGAAUCAAAUGAGCCUUCCGUUUGCAUUUAUACAAACUAUCUAUUUCUGCGAUGUCUGUUUCUGAGGGAUGUUCAUUCGAAGAAGCUAUACUAUAUCCAGUCUUUAAAACAACGAACGUUAGUUUCCCAACAAUUUGAAACGCACGACUGUGGUAAUGCAUGAGGGAUUUCACGUCAUAUUCGUAUCCAAAGUCAGCCACAGCUUCCGGCCUUGCUUUGUCAUAUUGCCGAUGAUAUUCUAAAAACAAUAAGAUCUUCAAGCAGGAUUGUAAAAGUUGUAAUUCCGGACAGUAAACGGUUAAUUUCAUUGAAAAUCCAGACACAUUAUGUUUUACAAUUGUCUGUCACCCAAGCUACCAAAUCCUGUUAUAAACCGUCUUACUGACUAAAGGCACAGUGUAGUGCAGCUCUGUGCAAUAGAAAAUGUUGUUAAAGCUGCGAUUUAAUGUUUUAUGUUCGUCGCGUGUUCGUAAUUAUCAGCUAACGAAAUCGUUCGAGUAACAAACAUUACCGUGCUGCAAAUGAGAUAUUUUGCACUUAAUUGUUACGUCACAUUGUAACAUAACUAUUAACUAUGGCGUUUCAUUAUCAGUAAUGUGCCCACUACCCAACGAACCAAGAGAUCAAAACAUCGUGUAUGAAAGUCACACUUUUACGCUCUGCGCCCGCAUAGGAAAUAAAGGAAGACGCAUGGGG